UUCAUACUCCCUACGUCCGAAAAAACUUGUCCCUCAAAUAAAUGUAUCUAGCAUCAAGUUAAUGCUAGAUACAUCCAUUUAAAAAAUAAAAUUGGGACAAGUUUUUCCGGACGGAGGGAGUACAAC
rfam:Triticum aestivum genome assembly, contig: Triticum_aestivum_CS42_TGACv1_scaffold_378381_5AL